rnacentral:rRNA from 1 species
UACAGAGGUGGCAAGCGUUGUUCGGAAUUACUGGGCGUAAAGGGCGCGUAGGCGGCCUUCUAAGUCAGACGUGAAAUCCCCCGGCUUAACCUGGGAACUGCGUCUGAUACUGGGAGGCUAGAGUGCGGGAGAGGGAUGCGGAAUUCCAGGUGUAGCGGUGAAAUGCGUAGAUAUCAAGAGGAACACCUGAGGUGAAGACGGGUUGCUGGGCUGACACUGACGCUGAGGCGCGAAAGCUAGGGUAGCAAACGGG